ACACACAUACAUAUUGCCUCCAUCACCCAGGACUGAAUACAGAGCAGUCAUGUAUUUUUUUUUUUUUAAUUAUACUGAAAAUCUGCAAAUAAAUGCUUUGAAACAAAGUGGAAUCUAAAUAGGCAAAGCUGCUUUUGGUAUAACUUUUAAAUCCACCUUUACUUAAUCGAACCAGAGACUGGAUGUUGUCACAUCUCUUAUACAAAAGUAAUCAUGUAAUUGCGAGAGAAAUUAUACACCACACUCCUUGUAUUGCAACAGAUCCUUUUUUUUUAUAUAUACCCACAGAUACAUCUUUUUACCUGUGUAUAUACACUAUAACACUACUACACUUAAUAUUCACUUUAAUAGAAGCAUGCAAGCAUCGCACUUUUUCUAGCUUAGACUGAGCUAAUAAACAAAAGAUAAAGGGGUAGGGUAUACACUUGUGUUUUUUGUUUUUGUUUUUUCCUCAACAGAAUGCUAUGCACCCAUCAUAUUUUAUGACUUUAUUGAGUUUAUUUUAAUGGAUUUCCAAAUGUGCAAGAUUAGUAAGGUCAAUCACAAAUUUCUAGAUGCACACUGGAGGCUGUUAUUUCUGGAAUUAUUUUAUUUUUCUUUAGUUUUGCGAGGGAUUUUCACAGACCUGCUUCUUUGCUUCCUAAUCACUGUUCUAAAGUCUGACGUAACCUCCAACAAGCACACUUGCUGCACUAAUUCUGAACCCUCUAGGACGGUCUAUACGUUUCCUUGUUUAAUGGCCAUUGAGGAGCACAGUCAUUUUCCAGCUCAUACUGCCAUACUUUGUGUAUCUACACAUCUUACCCUAGCCUGCAGUAGUGCCUAACCUGCUUCAGAAUCAAUACAAAUAUGGGUUUCCCUCAAACUAACUUAACCUCAACUGGUGGCUUCUGGAUAUUUGGCACUGUUGUGUAUCUUGGAUGAAUUGUCCGCCUAGGUUUUAUUUUUGUUCCAUAUAUUAAUUUAUGUUUGUCUAAAAGAAUGGAUAUCAAAACCUAUAGAUAUUCAGGAUUUCCAUAUUUUGUUUGUGUGUAAACCACCACCCCUCCCACAAAUGAAAUGUCACCUUGAUCUCUAUAGAUCUAGGAAUGAGCCUCUUGUGCAUUUUCCCUUUUGGUACAUUUACAGUUACCUCAUUUUGCUAUUUAAGUUUGUGUGUGUUUUUUUUUUUUUUGUUUUUUUUUCAGAUUUGCCAAUGCAAGCUUUAUGGGUUUUGUUGGAUUUAAAUUCGUGUUUUCUUGAGAAUUGCUUUUUAAUUCUCUGGUAUCAUUUAACAUGACAUGUAGUUUAAAAUGUAUUAUAAAUAUAUGUAACCAAAUCAUCUGAAGGCUUGAUAAAUUUUUAAUGAAAUUUGUAUAUUUUUUUUUUUUUUGUUGUUGUUAGUAAUGCUUUACCAAGUAGUGCAAUGAUUUUUAUUUUUUAAUUUUAUUUUUUCCUUUUAUCCCUGUGCCCAAUUUUGGAGUUGAGAGGGUUGUUCAGUAAUAAAUGUAUGAUGUACACUUACAUGUCUGAUGGUUUUUGUAUAACAAUUUUUAUUGUGCAGGUGAAAUAUGGAUAUUUCUACAGAGAUUUUUUUUUUCAUCCGAUCACAUUUUACAUAGUUUGGUUUGUGUACAAGGUGCUGUAGAAGUGCCAAUUAUACUUCAAUUGUGACUAAGGAAGCAGAUGUUUACUUCCUUAG